GUGCAUAAUAUGUUAUCUAUAAUAAUGUCAUGGUUUGAAUUACACAUAGAACGUCUUUUUGAGUAGUAGUGGAAGGAACAUUGCCAAGUGUUUUAUCUGUGUAAUGUCGAUGGAAAACAUGAGUUGCGUUAGUGUAGUGUUACGUUAUCACAAGUUAAUGACAGUUCAUCGUUUAAAAUCGUUUUGUUUACACCUUUAGAAAGCAAAUUGUUGUGGAACACAUGACACAGAUGUUGAUACUGUUGAAGUACUGCAAAUAACAGAUUUAAGUGAAACUAAUGCAGCAACACAAACACAGUUGAUGUGUAACCGUCAUCAGAUUAUAAUUUCCUGCAUAGUAUAUCAUACAAUGAAUAAAUGUAACACAUACAUUCUGGAACUGCAAAUGGAAAAUAUGAAUCUAUACACUCAAUUGAAAACGUUUCGUGUAAUUACAAACUGUGAAUGCUUUGCAAACAACAAAUGUAUUAUCCCAUCAUUGCAUCUGCUCAAUAUAAACAGGAAGCUUGAAAAUAGUGGAGAAGCUGAACAUCAAGUUAAAACCAUAAUAAAGAAGAUACAUCGCAAUAACAAAUUAAGAGAGACACAUUCCAAGAAUUUUAUAAUACGGUGUAGUCGUUCAACCAAAUAUGUAUUACUAGUCAUUAUAGUACUAUGGUAUGCAGCGAAAGCAAACAGCGCAGAUGUUAUAUAAGUUUAUGAAUACAGCAACGCAUUAAUUUAAUUGGAGGACAUUAUUUUCAUGCAACAGAAGUAAUACAGUGGAAACUAAUGACUAAGCCUGUGUAUUUUGGAAGAAACGUUAUUCUUGAAUGCAUUAUACAGACAGAGGACAAAUCAGCUCCAAUGUUAUGGACUAAGCUACCAAGCGGUAAAACAUUAGCCUACAAUAAAAACUCAAGAGACAAUGACAAGUAUGCAGUUACUGUUGAAUAUCAUGAGAGGAAAAUGGUAUACAAUCUUACUAUAAAACAUUUUAACUCAACGGACGUAAAUCAAGUGUAUAAAUGUGAUUUCGGAUUUCACUCUUAUUCAGGCAAUCUUUUGCUAAAUGAAAACGAUUUCAUCUCGGAACCCUCAGUAAGAAAUAUGAAAAACUUCAGCUUAGAUAACAGGAAGUUGAAUGGCAUUGUGAUGAUUUACAAUGGUUAUCCAAAACCUUUUUGCUCGGGAAAAUUUGAGGGAGAGGAAAUUUCAAAGUUCAUGAAUAUUAGUAUUAAAAACAUUUCAAUAUUCUACGAAACAAAGAUAGAACUUGACUACAUAACAGAUAUGUGUACAGGUACUGUCAAUGUGACAUGUACUUAUGGUAAUCACAAAGUGCUGAUCACUCAACUCAUACAUGCAUGUCCAGAUUCAUCGGAAUCGAGUCAUACUACUAUACAGAUAAUUUUGACAACAUUAGCAGGAUGCAUGCUUGUGGGUUUUUGUUUGGCAGUCCACUGUUAUCUAAAAUGGAAACAGAACAGAUUUUCGAGACCUAGUGCUCAUUUGAGUUCACUUUUCCAACCUAUAUAAGUUGUUUAUUUAGAUAUACAAAUGGUAUUGACAAUUUACUACACAAAUGUUGUGGUAUAUAAACGUAGAAAAAUCCAGGUUAUUCUAUUAUUGUGUCCAAAAUCUGUAAUGUUUAUAUAGAUAGACAGAUAUUUUUAUUUUGAAAUACAACUUGGUUCUUAUACAUGAAAUACAAUAUAUUACAGUUUUAAAAAUAUGCAAUCAAUAAACACGUAUAUUUAUACAAACUAGCCUUUAGAGGCUUAUGAUGCAGUAUCAUUUAUGUACGAAAAAUUAUAUGAAUAAAUUUUAAAAAAAUCAAAUUUAUCCUUAUUAUAUCUGAGGCUUAUUUCUUAUUAGAUACAAUGUAGUUCCAAUAUAUCAGUUGUGGUUAAUAUUAAAUGAGAAAAAUGAAGAUGCAAGUAUCUGAAUAAUUAUUGGUUUGAUAAUGUAAGGGUUGUACAUGGAAAAGUAGGAAGAUAAGAGUUGUCUCUCUUUGUACGUAUCCACAUUAUAUUAAGUGAAAAAUAGAAUUUGUAAUAAAAGAUAAAAAAGAAUUUAUCACCUAGAAUUGACUAAAUUCUGACAGUUGAUCUAUAUAAUAAUCAUUUAUGCCAUUUACUGAUAUAGCAAAAUAGUAUGUAAACACUAUAUCCUAUUUUUGAAAAAGUAAAAAUUGAAAAUGUUAAUGCAUUCAUGAAAAUAUCUGACACUAUUUAUCACAAUAAGUACAUAACAAGCAUAUGUAACAAUGAUCAUCCAGCAAUGAACAGACCGGACCCUACUUAGUACAAUGCAGCUAUUAUAAAAUAUAUUAAAUGACUAGAGUGUGUGCUUUUUUUCUUAUAUAUAUGAUCAAAAGCGCUGGACACGAGGCUAUGCUAUUGGUGCGGUAGUGCAUCAAAAAUGUGAGUUCCCGUCGAAGGACAAAAGUUUUUCAGCACAGAAAUCUAUUUAUACCAUCGUUGGGUUUUAUUUUUAGACUCAUAUAAAUAUUUGUAUAAAUAUUUGUAGUAACCUUGUAUUUGAAACACACUGAGAUCCAGUGGACAUAUAUAUUGUAUGGCUGUCACUUGCUUAGACUUGCUUUUAUGACAUACUUAUUGUUAGUGACUGCAUAAUGAGCGGAAUCACUAUCCCAUACGAUAUACAAAAAAAAAUGUUAAAUAGUUUGAAAAAAAGUAAAAUCACAAAAAAUACUGAACUCCGAGGAAAAUUCAUAACGGAAAGUCCGUAAUCAAACGGCAAAAUCAAAUGCUCAAACACAUCAAACUAAAGGAUAACAACUGUCACAUUCCUGACUUGGUACAGGCAUUUUCUUAUGUAGAAAAUGGUGGAUUAAACUUGGUUUUAUAGCUAGCCAAACAUCUUACUUGUAUUACAGUCGCAUCAAAUUCCAUUAUAUUGAAAGCGAAGCAUGAACAAAACAAACAGACAUAAAAGAUAAAAAUGUCAAAAAUAGGAAUAUAGCUGUCUACAUUAUGUUUUAAUCUUAAUAACUAUAAAAACAAACAAAUAUUUAACAAAGAAGCACAAAAAGGCAUAUAGAAAAACCACAUUAGCACAAAUAAAGGACAAGAAUACAGAAAUCAUAGAACAAAAACACAACGAAAGGUUAAGCGAUUGGUGCUGUAGUGUACAAAACGUGUGAGGUAAAUAGGAACAAAAU